rnacentral:rRNA from 1 species
UACAGAGGUCCCAAGCGUUGUUCGGAUUUACUGGGCGUAAAGGGUGCGUAGGCGGUCGGUCAAGUCUGAUGUGAAAUUUCGGAGCCCAACUCCGAAACGGCAUUGGAUACUGUCCGGCUCGAGGUUGGGAGGGGAGACUGGAAUUCUCGGUGUAGCAGUGAAAUGCGUAGAUAUCGAGAGGAACACCAGUGGCGAAGGCGAGUCUCUGGACCAAUCCUGACGCUGAGGCACGAAAGCCAGGGGAGCAAACGGG